rnacentral:rRNA from 1 species
AUGCUUGACAAGGCGAGCAAGGCUGGCAUUUUAUCUCCCCUGGGAAGCAUACCCAUUCGAUAUAGGACAUCUCUCUAUGCUGACGAUGUUAUCGUUUUCAUAUGCCCGUUGGGAAAUGAGGCGACCGCAGUAGCUGAGAUCCUAUCGCUGUUCGGAAAUGCAACUGGAUUUCGCACCAACUUUCAGAAGAGCAGCAUCAGCUCUAAAAGGCAAUUAAUUCUCCAAACCCCUUUCUUUAUCAUCAUCAUCCGUGAAUACUUUUUUAGCGAGACCAACGCCCCUGAGCGCCGGCCGGCCGCCCCGGCCCCGGCGGCCACCACUCUGGUGCCAGCGUCCACCCUCCCGCCGUCCCUCAUAGCAUCACAGGUUUCUCUCUCGGGGUCCUCCUCGUCCUCCUCGCGGGGUCGCCGCCGCCUCCUCCCCGGCCGCCUCUUCGUUCCAUGGUUCUGGUGCCUUAUGUGCUUGGCACAGCCUUCGGACCCAUCGUCCAGCCCGGUCCUGGUGGGUGCCCCUCACCACCUUGCCCGUCGGCUUGGCAGACAAGGGCCUCUCGCCGCCCGCGGAGCCCUGCGGCUCGCCCUCCCCAUACUGGCGCGCGCCGCCGGACCUCUCCGACCCUCCCCACCACGCGCCCGCCGAGACCUGCAUCCCAGCCUGCCUCCAUGGCUGCUGCUACAAUCGCGGGGAUGA